GGGAUGGUUUGGCACCUCGAUGUCGGCUCGUCGCAUCCUGGGGCUGGAGUAGGUCCCAAGGGUUGGGCUGUUCGCCCAUUAAAGCGGCACGCGAGCUGGGUUUAGAACGUCGUGAGACAGUUCGGUCUCUAUCCGCCGCGCGCGUAAGAAACUUGAGGAAGGCUGUCCCUAGUACGAGAGGACCGGGACGGACGAACCUCUGGUGUGCCAGUUGUUCCACCAGGAGCACCGCUGGUUAGCUACGUUCGGAAGGGAUAACCGCUGAAAGCAUCUAAGCGGGAAGCCUGUUCCAAGAUGAGGUUUCUCACCCCCUCGAGGGGGUAAGGCCCCCGGCAGACCACCGGGUUGAUAGGCCAGAACUGGAAGUCCGGUAACGGAUGCAGGUGACUGGUACUAAUAGGCCGAGGACUUACCACA
rnacentral:rRNA from 1 species